rnacentral:rRNA from 1 species
AUACGGAGGGGGUUAGCGUUGUUCGGAAUGACUGGGCGUAAAGCGCGCGUAGGCGGAUCAUGCAAGUCGGGGGUGAAAUCCCGGGGCUCAACCCCGGAAUGGCCUUCGAGACUGCUGGUCUUGAGUUCGAGAGAGGUGAGUGGGAUUCCGAGUGUAGAGGUGAAAUUCGUAGAUAUUCGGAGGAACACCAGUGGCGAAGGCGGCUCACUGGCUCGACACUGACGCUGAGGUGCGAAAGCGUGGGGAGCAAACAGGA